UAAAAGGUGGCCACAGCAGCACAGGAGUCACACCCCCGAGACUGUCCACCAUGGUUGUGCCUACUCUCUGCCUCUUAUGGGCCAUAGCAACGGCAGUGCGACCUGCCCCAGUGGCCCCUCUCGGUGGUCCAGAGCCGGCCCAAUAUGAAGAGUUGACCCUGCUCUUUCACGGGGCCCUACAGCUAGGUCAGGCCCUCAAUGGUGUGUACAAAGCCACGGAGGCUCGCCUGACAGAAGCUGGGCGCAACCUGGGCCUCUUUGACCAAGCACUGGAAUUUCUGGGAAGAGAGGUCAAUCAGGGCCGGGAUGCAACACGGGAGCUUCGCACCAGCUUGUCGGAGAUUCAGGCGGAAGAGGACACUUUACACCUUCGAGCAGAAGCCACAGCCCGAUCGCUGAGGGAAGUGGCCCGGGCCCAGCACGCUCUGCGGAACAGUGUACGGAGACUACAAGUGCAGCUGAGAGGUGCCUGGCUGGGCCAAGCCCACCAAGAAUUUGAGAACUUAAAGGUAAGGGGCUCCCAGGGGCACAACCCUGCUCCCCAGAAAGAAGCCACCACUGAACCCUGGGCUAGAGGACCCUCCAGUUGUAUAUGUGGUUCCAGCCUCAGUGACCUUCUGGAAGUGACCUUUGCAAGCAAGGGUAAGAACCAGACAUGGCGGUGCUCGCCUGUGGUUCUAGAACUCCAGAGGCAGGGGCAGGAGAAAGAGAAGGUUAAAGCCAGCCUUGGCUACAAAGUUAGGCCAGCUGCCUACCUGGUGAUAUCCUGUCUCAAAAAGAACAGAAAGAUAACUGGGCACGGGGGCUACACCCGCAACCCCAGCACUUGGGGAUAAAGGGUGGGGUUAGGAGUCCAGGGUGGUUUCUGGCUAGACAGACAUCUGAGUUAGGCUUGGGGUACAUGAGACCCAAUCUCAGAAGAAGUAAAUGAAUGAAUGCAGGAUCAGCAAGGUAGUUCACAGGUACAGGCUGACAAGGCCAAUGGCCUGAGACCGAGCCCCAGGCUCCCUAGGGGGGAAGGCAAGAACCUGCUCCCAACAGUUGUCCUGACUUCCAACAUUUGUGCUAUGGCAUGCACACACGCUAGAUAAACUUUGAAGUAAAGUAAGAGUAGUGACUGUCAUUUCAGAGCAAAGGUGAGUUUCAGAGGCAGAGGGAUGGAUACAGUAAGUGCUCAAUGGAUGCUUAUUGCUCUGGCUUCUGGUGCCAUGAAGUAAGAACCCAAUCAGUAGUGUUUGACAUGCAUCUACAAACUAUACGAAGCAAGUCCUAUCUUAGACACACCUUACAAAUAGGGAAACUGAGGCAGAGGGUCUUGGACGUUUGCUGGGUCACAUGGCAGAGAAACCUGUAGUGGUCAGGAGAUGGGAGUGGACCCAGACUUCCCGGCUAAAGUCGCUAUGCUACCCACAGGAUCGAGCCGAUAAGCAGAACCACCUCUUGUGGGCUCUCACUGGCCACGUGCAGCGACAGCAGCGUGAGAUGGCAGAGCAGCAACAGUGGCUGCGGCAGAUCCAGCAGAGACUCCACAUGGCCGCCCUCCCAGCCUGAGACUACCUGGAUGCCACUGAGGACCAGUUGUGCUGCAGGGAACACUGAAUGCGCUCCACCGGGCCUAUGAGCAGGGCCGACAGAGCUGGCUGCCCAUCAGCUAGACUUGGCCGGUGCACCCCGCUUCCUGGCAGAGCAGAGACAGAAGCAAGCAGGCGGGAUGGAAGGCAGAAGACACCCCCGUGGAGAAGGCUGGAGAAGGACAUGAGCUCCCUUAUGCCCCACACCCCACAAUAAAAAAGAGGCAAUCUAU